rnacentral:rRNA from 1 species
GACGAACCGAGCGAGCGUUAUUCGGAAUAAUUGGGCGUAAAGGGUGCGUAGACGGUUUGCUAAGUCUGUUGUUAAAUCUUUCGGCUUAACCGAAAAUCUGCAAUGGAAACUGGUAGGCUAGAGUGUGAGAGAGAGAAGUGGAAUUCUUGGAGUAGCGGUAAAAUGCGUAGAUCUCAAGAGGAACACCGAUGGCGAAGGCAGCUUCUUGGCUCACUACUGACGUUGAGGCACGAAAGCGUGGGGAGCAAACAGG